rnacentral:rRNA from 1 species
GGAUUUAGAUACCCUGGUAGUNCACGCCGUAAACGAUGUCGACUUGGAGGUUGUUCCCUUGAGGAGUGGCUUCCGGAGCUAACGCGUUAAGUCGACCGCCUGGGGAGUACGGCCGCAAGGUUAAAACUCAAAUGAAUUGACGGGGGCCCGCACAAGCGGUGGAGCAUGUGGUUUAAUUCGAUGCAACGCGAAGAACCUUACCUACUCUUGACAUCCAGGGAAUUUNGCAGAGAUGCUUUGGUGCCUUCGGGAACCCUGAGACAGGUGCUGCAUGGCUGUCGUCAGCUCGUGUUGUGAAAUGUUGGGUUAAGUCCCGCAACGAGCGCAACCCUUAUCCUUUGUUGCCAGCGAUUCGGUCGGGAACUCAAAGGAGACUGCCGGUGAUAAACCGGAGGAAGGUGGGGAUGACGUCAAGUCAUCAUGGCCCUUACGAGUAGGGCUACACACGUGCUACAAUGGCGCAUACAAAGAGAAGCGACCUCGCGAGAGCAAGCGGACCUCACAAAGUGCGUCGUAGUCCGGAUCGGAGUCUGCAACUCGACUCCGUGAAGUCGGAAUCGCUAGUAAUCGUGGAUCAGAAUGCCACGGUGAAUACGUUCCCGGGCCUUGUACACACCGCCCGUCACACCAUGGGAGUGGGUUGCAAAAGAAGUAGGUAGCUUAACCUUCGGGAGGGCGCUUACCACUUUGUGAUUCAUGACUGGGGUGAAGUCGUAA